rnacentral:rRNA from 1 species
UACGUAGGUGGCAAGCGUUGUCCGGAUUUACUGGGCGUAAAGAGCGCGCAGGCGGUCGUUCAAGUCGCGUGUGAAGGCCCCCGGCUCAACUGGGGAGGGUCACGCGAUACUGAUCGACUCGAAGGCAGGAGAGGGAAGUGGAAUUCCCGGUGUAGUGGUGAAAUGCGUAGAUAUCGGGAGGAACACCAGUGGCGAAGGCGACUUCCUGGCCUGUUCUUGACGCUGAGGCGCGAAAGCUAGGGGAGCAAACGGG